rnacentral:snoRNA from 1 species
AUGCCAUGAUAAGGGCACUUACUAAGCAUGUUCUUGAAUCUAUUCCAAGCUUCGUCAAAGGAUUCUGUUUCUCCCUAUCGAAAUAUGGAUAUGUCAUGUUUCAACUU